UACGUAGGGUGCAAGCGUUGUCCGGAAUUAUUGGGCGUAAAGAGCUCGUAGGCGGUUUGUCGCGUCUGCUGUGAAAACUCGGGGCUUAACCCCGGGCCUGCAGUGGGUACGGGCAGACUAGAGUGCGGUAGGGGAGACUGGAAUUCCUGGUGUAGCGGUGAAAUGCGCAGAUAUCAGGAGGAACACCGGUGGCGAAGGCGGGUCUCUGGACCGGUACUGACGCUGAGGCGCGAAAGCUAGGGGAGCAAACGGG
rnacentral:rRNA from 1 species